AAAAGCCUCUAAGCAUCAGGUAACAUCAAAUCGUACCCCAAACCGACACAGGUGGUCAGGUAGAGAAUACCAAGGCGCUUGAGAGAACUCGGGUGAAGGAACUAGGCAAAAUGGUGCCGUAACUUCGGGAGAAGGCACGCUGAUAUGUAGGUGAAGCGACUUGCUCGUGGAGCUGAAAUCAGUCGAAGAUACCAGCUGGCUGCAACUGUUUAUUAAAAACACAGCACUGUGCAAACACGAAAGUGGACGUAUACGGUGUGACGCCUGCCCGGUGCCGGAAGGUUAAUUGAUGGGGUUAGCGGUAACGCGAAGCUCUUGAUCGAAGCCCCGGUAAACGGCGGCCGUAACUAUAACGGUCCUAAGGUAGCGAAAUUCCUUGUCGGGUAAGUUCCGACCUGCACGAAUGGCGUAAUGAUGGCCAGGCUGUCUCCACCCGAGACUCAGUGAAAUUGAACUCGCUGUGAAGAUGCAGUGUACCCGCGGCAAGACGGAAAGACCCCGUGAACCUUUACUAUAGCUUGACACUGAACAUUGAGCCUUGAUGUGUAGGAUAGGUGGGAGGCUUUGAAGUGUGGACGCCAGUCUGCAUGGAGCCGACCUUGAAAUACCACCCUUUAAUGUUUGAUGUUCUAACGUUGGCCCGUAAUCCGGGUUGCGGACAGUGUCUGGUGGGUAGUUUGACUGGGGCGGUCUCCUCCUAAAGAGUAACGGAGGAGCACGAAGGUUGGCUAAUCCUGGUCGGACAUCAGGAGGUUAGUGCAAUGGCAUAAGCCAGCUUGACUGCGAGCGUGACGGCGCGAGCAGGUGCGAAAGCAGGUCAUAGUGAUCCGGUGGUUCUGAAUGGAAGGGCCAUCGCUCAACGGAUAAAAGGUACUCCGGGGAUAACAGGCUGAUACCGCCCAAGAGUUCAUAUCGACGGCGGUGUUUGGCACCUCGAUGUCGGCUCAUCACAUCCUGGGGCUGAAGUAGGUCCCAAGGGUAUGGCUGUUCGCCAUUUAAAGUGGUACGCGAGCUGGGUUUAGAACGUCGUGAGACAGUUCGGUCCCUAUCUGCCGUGGGCGCUGGAGAACUGAGGGGGGCUGCUCCUAGUACGAGAGGACCGGAGUGGACGCAUCACUGGUGUUCGGGUUGUCAUGCCAAUGGCACUGCCCGGUAGCUAAAUGCGGAAGAGAUAAGUGCUGAAAGCAUCUAAGCACGAAACUUGCCCCGAGAUGAGUUCUCCCUGACUCCUUGAGAGUCCUGAAGGAACGUUGAAGACGACGACGUUGAUAGGCCGGGUGUGUAAGCGCAGCGAUGCGUUGAGCUAACCGGUACUAAUGAACCGUGAGGCUUAACCUU
rnacentral:rRNA from 1 species